rnacentral:ncRNA from 1 species
CAAGUACUUUAGGGGUGUCUGCGUAGUUUGCAGGCUGAGAUUUUACCCUUUGAACCUGAUCUGGAUCAUACCAGCGUAGGGAAAAGUGAAUCGUCAUCU